GAUGAACGCUGGUGGCGUGCCUAAUACAUGCGAGUCGAGCGAACAGACGAGGAGCUUGCUCCUCUGACGUUAGCGGCGGACGGGUGAGUAACACGUGGAUAACCUACCUAUAAGACUGGGAUAACUUCGGGAAACCGGAGCUAAUACCGGAUAAUAUAUUGAACCGCAUGGUUCAAUAGUGAAAGACGGUUUUGCUGUCACUUAUAGAUGGAUCCGCGCCGCAUUAGCUAGUUGGUAAGGUAACGGCUUACCAAGGCAACGAUGCGUAGCCGACCUGAGAGGGUGAUCGGCCACACUGGAACUGAGACACGGUCCAGACUCCUACGGGAGGCAGCAGUAGGGAAUCUUCCGCAAUGGGCGAAAGCCUGACGGAGCAACGCCGCGUGAAUGAUGAAGGUCUUCGGAUCGUAAAACUCUGUUAUUAGGGAAGAACAAAUGUGUAAGUAACUAUGCACGUCUUGACGGUACCUAAUCAGAAAGCCACGGCUAACUACGUG
rnacentral:rRNA from 1 species